rnacentral:snoRNA from 1 species
AUUUCAAUGAUGACAUUCUUGAUAGGGACAUCUGAUAUCAAAUGACUGAUUUAUCAUUUUUGAAAACUUCUGAUUAUU